UACGGAGGGAGCUAGCGUUAUUCGGAAUUACUGGGCGUAAAGCGCACGUAGGCGGCUCUUUAAGUCGGGGGUGAAAUCCUGGAGCUCAACUCCAGAACUGCCUUCGAUACUGUAGAGCUUGAGUUCGGGAGAGGUGAGUGGAACUGCGAGUGUAGAGGUGAAAUUCGUAGAUAUUCGCAAGAACACCAGUGGCGAAGGCGGCUCACUGGCCCGAUACUGACGCUGAGGUGCGAAAGCGUGGGGAGCAAACAGG
rnacentral:rRNA from 1 species